ACUCCAAAAGGAAUCCCUAUACCCAUUACAGUCAUUCCCCAUUUCUCUCUGCCUCCACAACCCCCAGGCUUAGAUGGACCCAUCUUGUGUUUUGGUGUAGACCUGGGGCUUUAUGACAUUCAACAUUUCGUGUGAAAAAUAAAGAAUCAAACCUGGGCAAUGUAGUGAGACCUCAUUUCUACUAACGUUAAAAAGAAAGUAGCUGGGUAUGGUGUCGUGCGCCUGUCAUUCCAGCUAUUCAGGAGGCCGAGAGACUAUGGUUGAGAUUAAACAAAAUUAUCUCUAAGUAAAGCAUGAAAGUGCCUGGAAUAUAAAAGGCAAAGUAGAAUAAAAAGUAGCUGCUCUCCUGCUGAUGGUGAUUUCUAUGGUGAUGGUGACAAGGACGUUGACUCUCUACUUGGGAUUCAAGAAGCCUGGUCACAUCUGGAAAGGUUGACAAUCUAGGAAGGGAAGAAGAGUUCAUGCUUCAUGUGGUACACCUCCAACUCUCCUCUGAAGGAAAGAAGUAAAUUGUUAUAACAAAGAACACCAGCGAAGUCUUGUCAACAUCACUUUCUGAUGGCAAAGCCCGGUAAAGUUGAAUACAUGAAACUACAUUUCCCAAGAUCCUUUGCCAACUGGCUCGCCAUGAGAUUCAGCCAAUGUGUAUUGAAUAAGCUGCUACAUCACAUGGACCGUUUUAAAUGCUGAAAGAUAAAAGCAGUGAUCAAGACAGACAAAAGUCUUUUCUUCACGCAAUCAAUCACAUCAACACAAUCAACAUCCUAGCUAGGAGUUGUGCAAUAAACAAGUGAAUGCAUAA